rnacentral:rRNA from 1 species
GAGGAAAGAGGGCGGCGGGUUGAACACAUGCAAGUCGAACGGAAAGGCCCUGCUUUUGUGGGGUGCUCGAGUGGCGAACGGGUGAGUAACACGUGAGUAACCUGCCCUUGACUUUGGGAUAACUUCAGGAAACUGGGGCUAAUACCGGAUAGGAGCUCCUGCUGCAUGGUGGGGGUUGGAAAGUUUCGGCGGUUGGGGAUGGACUCGCGGCUUAUCAGCUUGUUGGUGGGGUAGUGGCUUACCAAGGCUUUGACGGGUAGCCGGCCUGAGAGGGUGACCGGCCACAUUGGGACUGAGAUACGGCCCAGACUCCUACGGGAGGCAGCAGUGGGGAAUAUUGCACAAUGGGCGGAAGCCUGAUGCAGCAACGCCGCGUGCGGGAUGACGGCCUUCGGGUUGUAAACCGCUUUCGCCUGUGACGAAGCGUGAGUGACGGUAAUGGGUAAAGAAGCACCGGCUAACUACGUG